CCUGAGAAACCCGAAAGAUCGAAUGGGGAGAUUCAUCGUCAGCGAUCGCGGUACGUGUGCGGUUCGCGAUGUUGCGCGCGCGCGGGGCUUCACGGUUCCGCSUCGUCGUCGCGAUACGCGUCCGCAUGUUUUUUAUUGCCGUGAUCGUCGGCGUGCACUUCUCCCCUAGUAGGACGUCGCGACCCGUUGGGUGUCGGUCUACGGCACGGUAGGGCAGCCUGUCUCGCUGGUGCGCUUCGCGGCGUUUUCAGCGUGGCAGACCUCCGUUCGCCCGACCGACUGCCCGGCGGUACUCGCACGAUAUCUAGCCGCGGUCAUUCGAACUGCGUCCGGCACGUCGCAGGCACGACGAGUGUUUCCCGGCUGUCACGGAUCUAACGCCGUCACCGGGCCUCGACGGGCCGUUGGCCGACGAUGCUCUCGGACAGGCUAAAGCUAAUGAAAUUAUGAUAUCGGUCGGCGACGCUACUGCUUUGGGUACUUUCAGGACCCGUCUUGAAACACGGACCAAGGAGUCUAACAUGUGCGCGAGUCAUUGGGAUCGUAUGAAAAACCUAAAGGCGCAAUGAAAGUGAAGAUCGUCCUUGCGACGAUCGAGGGAGGAUGGGCCGCGUCACGAUGCGGUCUCGCACUCCCGGGGCGUCUCGUUCUCAUUGCGAGAAGAGGCGCACCCAGAGCGUACACGUUGGGACCCGAA
rnacentral:rRNA from 1 species